rnacentral:rRNA from 1 species
UUGGAGGGCAGUCUGGUGCCAGCAGCCGCGGUAAUUCCAGCUCCAUAGCGUAUAUUGAAGUUGUUGCAGUUAAAAAGCUCGUAGUUGAACUUCGGGACCAGUGGGUUGGUCGUGCCUCUGGUACGUACUGGCCUUACCGGUUCCUCCCUUCUGAAGAACCACGAUGUCAUUAAUUUGGUGUUGUGGGGAAUCAGGACUGUUACUGUGAAAAAAUUAGAGUGUUUAAAGCAGGC